GGGUGGGCAGUUACCAGAAGAGUUGACAAAAGUCUGCACUGUCUAUACAGAGUCCUCCCACCUAAACCCAGCUUACCCCUACCUCUCUCGCUCAUUUGCUCUCUGUGUGCUUUCAUUAACGUACCAGUCUAGGAGCAGUGAGCAGAAGUGUCCGGCCAGGAACCAUGGGCGUCAGUAGCAGUAACAGCGGUUUGUCUAGGCUCGUCUUCAUUGGCGCUCUGGCCAUCUGCAUGGCUUUUGUGCAGUCAGAAACAGUUGAUGAUUCCUCACCUACACUGAAGUAUGAUAAUCAGGACACACUAUCCGGUGCUGGAGGCUUCGAUGUGACAACAAAAAUCCCUGUUCAAGACCCCAAAGAAAACACCUACACUUAUGAUUAUGAAGAUGCUACAUACUCCAUAACCCUGGAUGAGGAGGAAGUUGUGCUGGGGCCAGGUGCCAUCACAGCAAUCGUCAUCGCCGUGUUCCUCGGAGCCUCUGUUCUUCUCGCUCUCAUUGUGAUCACACUCAGAAAGUUCAUUGCCUCUUAAGGGACAUUUAUGUGUUUUCAUUUCCUCCCUUCCUCAAUCCCAUCUCUUCUUUUAACUCUUCUCAAACUGUAUUUUCAAGUGUCUCGUUGGUGGCAGGUCCUUCGUGAUUUCUUACUCCUAUAAAACUGAAGACAGAGAAAACCAGAAUCAGGCUGAACAAAAAAGUAACUGCAAUCAAGAGAAAUUAUGGAUGCAUUUGUUUGGUGACCAUAUAAUCAAUGUCGAUAUCCUCUUGUAAUAAGGUUUAGACUGAAAUAUUUCAAGGUAGAAUUAUUAUAUUAGAGACACGUUUUAAGUUAUAGUUUAAUACCAUCCAUGUGCAACUAGGUUUUUUUCAUACUGUAUUUUAAUGUAUACCAAUAUUCUUGUCAUUCUAGAUUUGAGUAGAAUGAUCAUGUCCUUUAGAGUUUAAGAUAAAGUGUGUGUACAGUAUGAAUUAAGAGAAAUCAAAGCAGUCUUUCAGAGUGAGUGUUUUAAUUGAACUUUUAUACAUAAACAGAUGAAUCUGUUUGUCACCUUAUGAUUGGUCAUUGAACAGAUAAAGAGACAAUGUUUAAUCCUCUU
ensembl:lncRNA